rnacentral:rRNA from 1 species
CGAAGGUGCAAGCGUUACUCGGAAUUACUGGGCGUAAAGCGUGCGUAGGUGGUUCGUUAAGUCUGAUGUGAAAGCCCUGGGCUCAACCUGGGAAUUGCAUUGGAUACUGGCGGGCUAGAGUGCGGUAGAGGGUAGUGGAAUUCCUGGUGUAGCAGUGAAAUGCGUAGAGAUCAGGAGGAACAUCCGUGGCGAAGGCGACUGCCUGGACCAGCACUGACACUGAGGCACGAAAGCGUGGGAGCAAACAGGAUU